rnacentral:rRNA from 1 species
AUAACGGUCCUAAGGUAGCGAAAUUCCUUGUCAGGUAAGUUCUGACCCGCACGAAAGGCGUAAUGAUUUGGGCGCUGUCUCGACAAUGUACUCGGCGAAAUUGUAGUACUAGUGAAGAUGCUAGUUACCUGCGACAAGACAGAAAGACCCCAUGGAGCUUUACUGUAGCUUGAUACUGGGUUUCGAUAAUUUAUGUACAGGAUAGGUGGGAGGCGAAGAAGCAAUUGCGCCAGCAGUUGUGGAGUCAUCCUUGGGAUACCACCCUUAAGUUAUUGAAAUUCUAACCUGUAGUCCUGAGCGGGCUAGGGGACAAUGUCAGGCGGGCAGUUUGACUGGGGCGGUCGCCUCCAAAAGAGUAACGGAGGCGCGCAAAGGUUUCCUCAGCGCGGACAGAAAUCGCGCGAAAGAGUGCAAAGGCAGAAGGAAGCUUAACUGAGAGACUGACAAGUCGACCAGAUACGAAAGUAGGUCUUAGUGAUCCGGCGGUAGUGAGUGGAAAUGCCGUCGCUCAACGGACAAAAGUUACCCUGGGGAUAACAGGCUUAUCUCCCCCAAGAGUUCACAUCGACGGGGAGGUUUGGCACCUCGAUGUCGGCUCAUCACAUCCUGGGGCUGUAGUAGGUCCCAAGGGUUGGGCUGUUCGCCCAUUAAAGUGGUACGCGAGCUGGGUUCAGAACGUCGUGAGACAGUUCGGUCCUUAUCUGUCGCAGGCGAAGGAUAUUUGAGGGGAGUUGACCUUAGUACGAGAGGACCAGGUUGAACUUACCAAUGGUGUAUCAGUUGUCGUACCAACGGCACGGCUGAGUAGCUAAGUAGGGAAGGGAUAAACGCUGAAAGCAUCUAAGUGUGAAGCCCACCCCAAGAUAAGAUAUCCCAUACCGUAAGGUAGUAAGAUUCCACGUAGACUAUGUGGUAGAUAGGUUGGAGGUGUAAGUGCAGUAAUGCAUUAAGCUGACCAAUACUAAUAAAUCGAGGGCUUAACCAC